rnacentral:rRNA from 1 species
GACAGAGGGUGCAGACGUUGUUCGGAAUUACUGGGCGUAAAGCGCGUGUAGGCGGCCCUGCAAGUCGGGUGUGAAAUCCCACGGCUCAACCGUGGAAGUGCACUCGAAACUGCAGGGCUAGAGUCCUGGAGAGGAAGGUGGAAUGCUUGGUGUAGAGGUGAAAUUCGUAGAUAUCAAGCGGAACACCGGUGGCGAAGGCGGCCUUCUGGGACAGUGACGUGACGCUGAGACGCGAAAGCGUGGGGAGCAAACAGG